GACAGACGGCCCCGAGCGUUAAUCGGAAUUACUGGGCUUAAAGGGUGCGUAGGCGGACCAGCAAGUGCUUUGUCGAAAGCCCCCGGCUCAAGCCGGGGAACUGCGGGGCAUACUGCGUGGUCUUGAGGCAGGUAGGGGUCGCGAGAACAGUAGGUGGAGCGGUGAAAUGCGUAGAUAUCUACUGGAAUGCCGGAUGGUGAAGACGCGCGACUGGGCCUGUCCUGGACGCUGAGGCACGAAAGCGUGGGGAGCAAACAGG
rnacentral:rRNA from 1 species